AUUGAACGCUGGCGGCAUGCUUUACACAUGCAAGUCGAACGGCAGCGCGGGGCAACCUGGCGGCGAGUGGCGAACGGGUGAGUAAUACAUCGGAACGUACCCAGAAGUGGGGGAUAACGUAGCGAAAGUUACGCUAAUACCGCAUACGACCUAAGGGUGAAAGUGGGGGACCGCAAGGCCUCAUGCUUUUGGAGCGGCCGAUGUCUGAUUAGCUAGUUGGUGAGGUAAAGGCUCACCAAGGCGACGAUCAGUAGCUGGUCUGAGAGGACGACCAGCCACACUGGGACUGAGACACGGCCCAGACUCCUACGGGAGGCAGCAGUGGGGAAUUUUGGACAAUGGGGGGCAACCCUGAUCCAGCAGUGCCGCGUGAGUGAAGAAGGCC
rnacentral:rRNA from 1 species